AACAAACGCUGGCGGCGUGCAUAACACAUGCAAGUCUGACGGGAAUGUCGGCUUCGGCUGACUAGUACCGUGGCGAACGGGUGAGUAACACGUGGGUAAUCUAACCUCGAGUUUGGGAUAACCCUGCGAAAGCGGGGCGAAUACCGAAUAAGACCACGCCCUGCCCGCAGGGUGCGGUAAAAGGUGGCCUCUUCUUGAAAGCUAUCACUUGAGGAUGAGCCCGCGGCCUAUUAGCUAGUUGGUGGGGUAAUGGCCUACCAAGGCGACGAUGGGUAGCCGGCCUGAGAGGGUGUACGGCCACACUGGCACUGAGAUACGGGCCAGACUCCUACGGGAAGCAGCAGUGAGGAAUUUUGCGCAAUGGGGGGAUCCCUGACGCAGCAACGCCGCGUGAGUGAGGAAGGUCUUCGGAUCGUAAAGCUCUGUCAGGUGGGAAGAAGUGGAUAACGGCAAAUAACCGUUUUCCUUGACGGUACCACCAGAGGAAGCACCGGCAAACUCCGUGCCAGCCGCCGCGGUAAAAC
rnacentral:rRNA from 1 species